AUUAACGUCUAUAUUAUAUAAGAUAAGAUACGAUCACAGAUCACAAGAGGUUGGUAAAACGAUGCUAAGUUAAUCUUUACCAAAACUUUUAGCGCGUUCACUAUUUACAUUUUUCUUCAGUGCUAUUAGGGUGUGAAAGGAAAGGCCAGGAACACAAAACCUUUGUGUAUGUGUGUGUGUGCGUACCGUAUAGGCCAACGUGGUCGUUUUUGGACCUGCUCGCUAUAAGCAGCCGAAGGCAGCGCUAACCACGGGAAUUUUCCUCAUAUUCCUAUAUUGUAACCUGGGUUACCAAGACAACGUAAAAGAGUGCUUUAGAUUUAAACCGUCAUACACUAAUGCAGAAGUCUCCUGGGCGGGAAGAAAACGUAGGCUAUUUACGCCGUCAUAGCCCACACAUCCACACACAACGCAAGACACGAACAAUGACAACUAGACUGCAGAAGAAAGAAACGAAACAAUUCAAAGGGAUUGAAACUGAAGCUUCCGCACGGGUAAUAAUCCUAUGGUGUAUACAUUCAUCUCAUGUCCAGCUCAAGAACAGCUAACGUGACAAUGCAGAAAUGAUACCAUCUCCAAAUGUGAAAAAUCUUAAUAAUCAAACAAUGAGAAACAAUGGAAGGAACACAAAGAAAGGGUCGUCCAAAGCAGGAUAGUUGGACAAUGAGAAUGGUAUGGCCUCUCUUGAUAUCCUGAUGAGAACAGCUGGUGACUGGGAAAAGUGGAUGGAUUUUGUUACACAAAUUGUCACAGCACCCCUACUAUGAAUGCAUAGUUAGUUAUUCAAGUUUCUCUUCUAAAUUAUAGAUGUUCUCAAUAAUCUCUGAAGCUUGAAAAGGUUAACAGUGUGAUAAAUAGUAGCAAAUGAUUAUAAUAUAAAGGUAAUAAUUUCUUUGUAAUGAAAAAAACAUCUAUAGAAAUUAUGUACAUUUUGUGUUUAUUUAUUUGUAAUUUUUUUUUUGGAGAUUAGGAGAAAAGAAAAAGCAAUGUUUUCAAAAUUAGCACUUAAAUGGUAAUUUUGGGCUUUUUUUUUUUUAUUUAAAAAAAAAAGAUUAUUACCUGAAAU